GAUAAAAAAUUGGGGCCCGGCUCCAGUGGGUUUGUAAGCAAUCGACGAUUCUGCCCCAAAAAAGGGUUACAUCUCGAAACUUGAUAGGAUUGGUAGAGCUAAAGCCCUGAAUUUUAGUGUAGGCUUCCAUGGCCUUCUUCUGGUUUUUUGGGUUUUCAAAUUGAGGGGAAGAUUUGGAGAAGGCAGCGAUGCCAUGCCUCCGUCGACUGCAAAUUUCUAGAAUAUGAUUGGAGAAGGGAGCGAUGCCAUGCCUCUGCAGACUGCGAAUUUCUAGACUAUGGAGAAUGUCGCGGCUGCCUCAAGGCUUCCAACACCUCACCACCUUUCAAGCAUUGAAUCUUCCAUCGACGGGCGAUGAGUUUAUGGAGUGGCUGCGCAACGAAGAACGUUACGAAGUGGAGCACAUCUUGCUCAUUCAAGUUUGGCAGAAGACCACUGAAGGAUGGCAGAUUACCACUCUUUAGAAUGUUGCAUGUGCGUUCAUGAAUGAGAGCCGCUCCCAUAAACUCAUUCCAUGGUAAUCCUCUACCCCAAAUCUUCAUUUUCUUUCAGACAGUGUACCCGAGUCUCUCACUACCCUAGUCUUAUCCCAUUCCAUUAUCACCCAAGGCCCCUUUGCCAUCCUUCACUCGUUGCCCCAACUCACGGCUCUGGUUUUGCUCGGGUACUCAUAUGUUGGUAAAUGUCUAGCAAAAUGCAGCGCAGGCAGCUUCCCUAAGCUUCAAAUUCUACACCGAAGAUGGAGGAUGGGGUUCGGACGCCCACUAUAUGGUGACGUUUUUGGUGUCCAACAACAAUAACAACCUAAUUAUGAGUUCCCUGCAGUACGCCAACUAGUGUGAAGGCACCUGACAUUAUUGAUCUUCGAAAGCAACAAACGAAAGAGCCAAGGAAGCCUCUUUACCAAGUGAAUACAUUGAAAGAUUUUGGGCACAAUCUUCCAGUACUCAAAGAGAAGGAAGAAAGGAUUGCACCAGGAACCUUACUCGGAACAACACACAUGUAUGUGCUUGGGGCAAUGGAUAAAAUUGGUGCUAAAAGGGUUGAGCUACUACUAGGACAAAGUGGAUGUCACUCUUAGGUUGGAAGAAUCAUAGGCUUUGGAUGAUGUUACUUUGGCAGCAAAGGAAGGUAUUUUUUUUUAUAAUAGGAGCCCAGAUUCUUGAUGUGUUGUUUGAUGCAUGCAUGCAAAGUUUUACGCGUUUUAUGGGAGUGAGUUAUUCAUUAUUGGGUGACAUGGAUCAUGUAUGAGGAAGCAAGGGAAGAGGAGAAGCUAUGAAAUCAACGCAAAGGACUUCAGUGACAUGGUGGCAGAGGCUAAGAGAAAGAGGAAGCGCAAGAUGUAGGAAAAAAGAAGGGAAGGCAAAGAAGAAGGAUUUCAAGUUUUAGGCACAAAGCUAUACGUCAAAUUUGCAUAGCAUGAAUGCUCCCCCUCCCCCAUUGGAUAUAUUAUGUUUGGUGAAUGUAUUGUGAACUCUGAAAUUUGAAGGAUCUGACACAUUGAAAGUUCGUAUUGACAUGUAAAAUGUGAAGUUCUUUAGUUGAUCUUGGGCCCAUCUUGGUUCGAUUAAUGAAUGGACAGAGCAGCUAGCUGUACUAUUAAGGUAGGAGUGAUGUUUAAAGGGAAUUUGAUUGGUGAAUCUAUUCUGAGAUCGUCAAUGAAUCUUAA